GAACUCACUGCGUACUUUGAUUUCUUGAUGGCUGACUAUGAGUACUGAAAACUCCAACCCGGCAGCGUGUAGUGCUGUGUGCCUCUCCUUAUAGAGUUAAACUCAGCCAGGCCUGCCCGAGAGAAACCCUAAACUGGCGCCACAUUCCUGCUGGAACUCUGUCACAGUCUCAGCUCAAACUGGCCUCCAGAUGGACAAGGUGAAGAGACAGAGGUCAUACCCAUGAGGAAGAGGCUCUUGGCAGACAUGGAAUCUACUGUCACCUUAUUCUUGGAUUCUUAAGCCUCGUAAACACUGAGUGAGUCCAGCUGGACCUGUCAAUCACCUCGCCUGGAGACUACCCCUCAGGAAAACUGAUUCACCUGAAGAUGUUACAGAGAUGGGGGAAAUAAUUAUUCUCUUAAUGAGAUAACAUGUGUGUACCUCCCUGAGAAGUCCCUCCCUCAGUCCAGCUGUUUGCAGAUCUUUCCUACUAAGACAGCCUGCUUUCCCCAGUUCUAACUCCAAAACUGUAACUUCUCCUUUCCCCUUGUCUCAUCUUUGGCUAAAGGCCAAAACCUCCUCCUGCUUCCAACCUCUGUACACUCUCUUUCUUUAACCCCCUCCAAGCCCCAGUUACUUGGCGCCCUUCCUUGCAGAACCUGCCAACUCUCCUGAAACCUACCUCGGAAGGCAUGUCAUGCUCUCCUCUCCAGCUCCCCUUUCCAGGCAGCAGUUGAGGUUUGUAGCUUCCUGACCUUGUGGUUUACUCCUGAGCGCCAAUAAAAGAGUCCACAAGCUUCCCUCUGA
rnacentral:lncRNA from 1 species